UGUUUUUUGAAAUCAUAACUG
rnacentral:piRNA from 1 species